rnacentral:rRNA from 1 species
CCUACGGGAGGCAGCAGUGGGGAAUAUUGGACAAUGGGGGCAACCCUGAUCCAGCCAUGCCGCGUGUGUGAAGAAGGCUUUCGGGUUGUAAAGCACUUUCAGUGAGGAGGAAAACCUUAUGGCCAAUACCCAUGAGGCUUGACGUUACUCACAGAAGAAGCACCGGCUAACUCCGUGCCAGCAGCCGCGGUAAU